AUUGAACGCUGGCGGAAUGCUUUACACAUGCAAGUCGAACGGCAGCACGGACUUCGGUCUGGUGGCGAGUGGCGAACGGGUGAGUAACAUAUCGGAACGUAUCCAAUAAUGGGGGAUAACUAAUCGAAAGGUUGGCUAAUACCGCAUACGCCCUACGGGGGAAAGCUAGGGACCUUCGGGCCUGGCGUUAAUGGAGCGGCCGAUAUCUGAUUAGCUAGUUGGUGGGGUAAAGGCCCACCAAGGCGACGAUCAGUAGCUGGUCUGAGAGGACGACCAGCCACACUGGAACUGAGACACGGUCCAGACUCCUACGGGGGGCAGCAGUGGGGAAUUUUGGACAAUGGGCGCAAGCCUGAUCCAGCCAUUCCGCGUGAGUGAAGAAGGCCUUCGGGUUGUAAAGCUCUUUCGCAAGGGAAGAAAACUUAUCCUCUAACAUAGGAUGAGGUUGACGGUACCUUGAUAAGAAGCACCGGCUAACUACGUGCCAGCCGCCGCAGUAACAC
rnacentral:rRNA from 1 species